UACGGAAGCAGCAGUGGGGAAUAUUGCACAAUGGGCGCAAGCCUGAUGCAGCCAUGCCGCGUGUGUGAAGAAGGCCUUCGGGUUGUAAAGCACUUUCAGCGAGGAGGAAGGGUUCGGUGUUAAUAGCACCGUGCAUUGACGUUACUCGCAGAAGAAGCACCGGCUAACUCCGUGCCAGCAGCCGCGGUAAUACGGAGGGUGCAAGCGUUAAUCGGAAUUACUGGGCGUAAAGCGCACGCAGGCGGUUUGUUAAGUCAGAUGUGAAAUCCCCGAGCUUAACUUGGGAACUGCAUUUGAAACUGGCAAGCUAGAGUCUUGUAGAGGGGGUAGAAUUCCAGGUGUAGCGGUGAAAUGCGUAGAGAUCUGGAGGAAUACCGGUGGCGAAGGGCGGCCCCGUGGACAAAGACUGACGCUCAGGGUGCGAAAGCGUGGGGAGCAAACAGGAUUAAGGAUACCCGU
rnacentral:rRNA from 1 species